UCUACGGGGGGCAGCAGUGGGGAAUAUUGGACAAUGGGGGGAACCCUGAUCCAGCCAUGCCGCGUGUGUGAAGAAGGCCCUCGGGUUGUAAAUCACUUUCAGUGAGGAAGAACGCCUGGUGGUUAAUACCCAUCAGGAAAGACAUCACUCACAGAAGAAGCACCGGCUAACUCCGUGCCAGCAGCCGCGGUAAUACGGAGGGUGCGAGCGUUAAUCGGAAUUACUGGGCGUAAAGCGCGCGUAGGUGGCUUGAUAAGCCGGUUGUGAAAGCCCCGGGCUCAACCUGGGAACGGCAUCCGGAACUGUCAAGCUAGAGUGCAGGAGAGGAAGGUAGAAUUCCCGGUGUAGCGGUGAAAUGAGUAGAGAUCGGGAGGAAUACCAGUGGCGAAGGCGGCCUUCUGGACUGACACUGACACUGAGGUGCGAAAGCGUGGGUAGCAAACAGGAUUAGAUACCCGAGUAGUC
rnacentral:rRNA from 1 species